GACGAGGGGUCCUAGCGUUGUUCGGAAUCAUUGGGCGUAAAGCGUAUGUAGGCUGCCAUAUAAGUCAGUUGUGAAAGCCCCGGGCUCAACCCGGGAAGUGCUUCUGAUACUGUGUGGCUUGAGUACUAGAGAGGAUAGUAGAAUUCCAGGUGUAGUGGUGAAAUACGUAGAUAUCUGGAGGAAUACCGGUGGCGAAGGCGGCUAUCUGGCUAAGUACUGACGCUGAGAUACGAAAGCGUGGGGAGCAAACAGG
rnacentral:rRNA from 1 species